rnacentral:rRNA from 1 species
GACGAACGCUGGCGGCGUGCUUAACACAUGCAAGUCGAACGGAAAGACCCUGCUUUUGUGGGGUGCUCGAGUGGCGAACGGGUGAGUAACACGUGAGUAACCUGCCCUUGACUUUGGGAUAACUUCAGGAAACUGGGGCUAAUACCGGAUAGGAGCUCCUGCUGCAUGGUGGGGGUUGGAAAGUUUCGGCGGUUGGGGAUGGACUCGCGGCUUAUCAGCUUGUUGGUGGGGUAGUGGCUUACCAAGGCUUUGACGGGUAGCCGGCCUGAGAGGGUGACCGGCCACAUGGGGACUGAGAUACGGCGCAGACUCCUACGGGAGGCAGCAGGGGGGAAUAUUGCACAAUGGGCGGAAGCCUGAUGCAGCAACGCCGCGUGCGGGAUGACGGCCUUCGGGGUGUAAACCGCUUUCGCCUGUGACGAAGCGUGAGUGACGGUAAUGGGUAAAGAAGCACCGGCUAACUACGUG